CAGUGAUAAACUGGAGGAAGGUGGGGAUGACGUCAAGUCAUCAUGGCCCUUACGACCAGGGCUACACACGUGCUACAAUGGCGCAUACAAAGAGAAGCGACCUCGCGAGAGCAAGCGGACCUCAUAAAGUGCGUCGUAGUCCGGAUUGGAGUCUGCAACUCGACUCCAUGAAGUCGGAAUCGCUAGUAAUCGUGGAUCAGAAUGCCACGGUGAAUACGUUCCCGGGCCUUGUACACACCGCCCGUCACACCAUGGGAGUGGGUUGCAAAAGAAGUAGGUAGCUUAACCUUCGGGAGGGCGCUUACCACUUUGUGAUUCAUGACUGGGGUGAAGUCGUAACAAGGUAACCGUAGGGGAACCUGCGGUUGGAUCACCUCCUUACCUUA
rnacentral:rRNA from 1 species